rnacentral:rRNA from 1 species
AUUGAACGCUGGCGGCAGGCCUAACACAUGCAAGUCGAACGAGUGUCGCACGCGUGAGUGAAGUCUGGGAAACACCUGGCGGUGGGGGGGUAACUACAGGAAACAGUGUCUAAUACCGCAUACCAUCAGAUGUGACCCGAUGGGAUUAGCUAGUGGGUGGGGUAACGGCUCACCUAGGCGACGAGCCCUAGCUGGUCUGAGAGGAGGACAAGCCACACUGGAACUGAGAAACGGCCAAGACUCCUACGGGAGGCAGCAGUGGGGAAUAUUCCACAAUGGGCGAAAGCCUGAUGAAGCAAUGCCGCGUGGAUGAGGAAGGCCUUCGGGUUGUAAAGUACUGUUAGCGGGGAGGCGGUACCCGAAGAGGAAGCAACGGCUAACUACGUGCCAGCAGCCGCGGUAAUAC